CUGGGAGGGGUUAGAAGUAUCUUUAGGGUAGCGGUAAAAUGUUAUAAUCCUAAAGAGACUACCUAUGGCGAAGGCAUCUAACCAGAACAGGUCCGACGGUGAGGGACGAAAGCUAGGGGAGCAAACCGGAUUAGAUACCCGAGUAGUCCUAGCCGUAAACGCUGCGAGCAAGAUGUUGCGUAUUCUUCGUGAAUAUGCAGUAUCGAAGAGAAGUCGUUAAGCUCGCCGCCUGGGAAGUAUGGUCGCAAGACUGAAACUUAAAGGAAUUGGCGGGGGAGCACUACAAAGGGUGCGGCGUGCGGUUUAAUCUAACUCAACGCAGAGAAUCUCACCAGAAGCGACGGCAGAAUGAAAGUCAGAUUAAAGGUUUUACUUGACGAGCCGAGAGGUAGUGCAUGGCCGCCGUCAGCUCGUUCCGUAAGGUGUCCUGUUAAGUCAGGCAACGAGCGAGACCUGUACCUACAAUUGCCAGCAGCAGAUUUUUCUGGACUGGGCACAUUGUAGGGACUGCCCUGGAAACAGGGAGGAAGGUGCAGGCUACGGUAGGUCAGUAUGCCCC
rnacentral:rRNA from 1 species